CUGGAAACCAGGAGGAAGCUUCUACCCCCAACCCCUGCCAGGUUCUGCUUCACAAUCUGAGUCGCAGCUUUUAGACAUUAAAAGUCAACUGCUGAUUUUCUUCCCAUGGCAGACAUUACAAGUCAAUCAGAGAAAGUCUUUCAACCAACUAGAUUCAGUUCUGGACUUUCAAAAUAUCCUCUACAGCAUGUCCAGUGGAGCUGCCCUGUAAGCUAGGACCUAAUACCAUUCUGAAUUUCUUAUUUGAUGAUGAGGGAAAUUGGUAUCCUCAGAGUCCCUUCAAAUGGUCACUUGCAGGCUGGUCUCUGUGUUCCGAUUUUCUGAGCCUUGAACUUCCAUUUCCCACAGUGGUUUCCAAACUCGAGAGGCUUGUAGGGUGAAGACGUGGACAGAGGGAUGGACAAUAGCGAGUGUCAAGCUGCUGGUGCCGAGGAUGAAGACCAGGUGGACUAACAUCGCGACCAUCUCAACACAUUCUACAAUGCCAUGUUUAUUUUCAAAAGACAAAAAGGAAGGAAAGAAUCCACACCUGUUGUUUGGUUGAAGUGUGUUUUCAAAAGCAAUGACUGGCUUCUGCAGAAAACGCAAAGCCAUCUGAGAGCAAGAGGGAGGAAAGCAGAGCCUUCUGUAAUCCUACCUCCCAAAGACAACCUAU